CACAAAAACUGUACAAAGCCCAAAGCUGCGCAAAGCCUCAAAAACAAUCCACAAGGAAGGAAGCAAGGAGCGCACUUCUGCCCGUAAACACGACACGAAACACGACAGUUUGAAAAGAGUCAAGCGGCCAAAGACGCGAUGAAAGACUGUUUUAACAGCACCUGUUUACUACCUCCAUCCAUCUUCCCUUCAAGGCCUCGGUCUGCCGCCGUCCACCGAGAUGGACGGAUGGGGAAACUGAGAAGGAGAAGUGGGCGCCAGCUUUCCCUUAACUUCAGGGGGCCUGGCAGCAGAGCAACUUCUCUGUUCCCUCAACAAUGAGGAAGAACAUGUCUCAAACAGGGACAGUUAAUCUUCAGGGUAUGGGACUAACUGGCUCUGCCUUGUGAUUGACUGUCCCUCUCUGUUGGUCCCUGGGUGACCCUCAACACCACCGAGACGAGGGAGGACCAAUAAAGCUCAGACUGGAUAAUAACUCAUCAUAAUCUCAUACGUUUUCAUUUACUGAGCAGUAUAAUGACAUAACCAGUAUAAAUCACCGGCUAAUGGGAGAAGUGAAGCCCAAAAAUACGAGCCUUGAUGUGUGUUCUGAGCACUGAAGUCUGAAGCAAUAUUUCAGACUGUCCUGUCUGAGGCUGAAGUGUCUGUGUCUACCCUCCUGUUCUUUACUGUUUUGUUAUGUCUGUACUACAAAUUGUGUGUUUGAAAUAUAACAGGGACAAUGUGG